rnacentral:lncRNA from 1 species
GUGCAGGUUUGCACUGUGUUGUUAAGGGUGCAGGGCUUGGUGCUGGAAGAGGGAGGAAGGAGGAAAAAAAAGUCUCAGGGUGAGCCACCGGCAAGUCCUUACGAUGCGGAAUCCGCCUUUGCAGAGCUAGCCGGGUCCGCAGGGAAAGGGCGGUUUUCUCUUCGCAGAUGCGUUUGUGACUGCCUGGGAUUUCCACCUGCCAGAGACCCUCCGGCACUGAUCCUUCAACACCGCCUGGGCACCGGGUCACGGCCGAACUGCUCUGAAUGCGAGUGGAGCCAAAUGCAGCCAGGUGGCCUAAUGAGAAGAGCACGAGAAUGGACAUUUGACACGUUUUCUGGAACAUUCAGAAUAGAAUCCUGGGGCUUCUCUAGUAAUAAUCGUAGGAAGUAGUUUUUGGCACUGAGUUCACGCUCUCAUCUGUGAACCGACCUUCAGAGCAACACUUAACUGGUUUCCAGUACACUCAGAAUAAUGGACAAAUAACUCCAGGAUCCUUGCCGUGGCCCAUUGGCCCCACGUGUGGCAGUCCUGAGGACGUGCUUCACCUUCUCCUGUCAUCUCCCUUCUCCUUUUCCACGCAGCUCUAGAAAACAACAGGCCUUCCUGGGGCUCCAGCCCCCGCCCUCCCAAGCCUGCUCCGACCUCAGCUCAUUUGCACAUCUCUUCUUGCUGGAAUCCCUGCCUCACGUCAUGGCUUCUACUUCUAUCAGCUUCACGUCUUUGCUCAGAUGUCGUCCCCUUACAGAAGCCUUCCCCCAGCCGCCCAGUUUAAGGUAGUAGAACCCCCUCCAUUACUUCCCAUGUUCUCAG